UGCCACAGCCAUAUCACCCUGCAGCCCAAGACCAGUUACUUACUGAAGCUAAGCAGGGCUGAGCCUGGUCAGGGCCUAAACGGGAGACCACAUGGGAAAACUAGGUUGCUGCUGGAA
ensembl:rRNA 5S_rRNA 5S ribosomal RNA